ensembl:snRNA U2 U2 spliceosomal RNA
CCCGCUUCUCGGUCUUUUGGCUAAGAUUAAGGUAGUGUCUGUUCUCAUCAGUUUGAUAUCUGCUCUUUCCUCUAUCUGAGAACAAUCUAUUCAAUGGAUCUUUGGAACAGGGAGUUGGGUUAGGAGCUUGCUCUGUCCACUCUAUAUAUUGACCCGCUAUUUUAAUACUUCCAGGAAUGGUGCACCUUCC